rnacentral:rRNA from 1 species
UACGGAGGGUGCAAGCGUUAUCCGGAUUCACUGGGUUUAAAGGGUGCGUAGGCGGAUAGGUAAGUCCGUGGUGAAAUCCUGCAGCUUAACUGCAGAACUGCCAUGGAUACUAUUUACCUUGAAUGUCGUGGAGGUUAGCAGAAUAUGUCAUGUAGCGGUGAAAUGCUUAGAUAUGACAUAGAAUACCCAUUGCGAAGGCAGCUAACUACGCGAUAAUUGACGCUGAUGCACGAAAGCGUGGGGAUCAAACAGG